rnacentral:rRNA from 1 species
AGCGAACGCUGGCGGCAGGCCUAACACAUGCAAGUCGAACGAAAACUUCGGAGUGAUUGGCGGUUUGGUGAGGAAUGCCUGGCAACGUGCCAAUUUGUUGGGAACAACCUAGGGGAACGUGUUCUCAUAUCGAAACUGUCCCUCGGGGGAAAUAUUUGCGCCGAUUAGAGCGGCCGGCGCUUGAUUAGUUAGUUCGUGAGGUAACGGCGGAUGAAGGCGACGAUCAGUAGCUGGUCUGAGAGACUGACCAGCCACACCGGGGCUGAGACGCGGUCCAGACUCCUACGGGAGGGAGGAGAGGGGGAUCUUGCGCAGCGGGGGAUAGGAUGACGCAGCCAUGGCGGGUGAAUGAUGAAGGUCUUAGGGUAGUAAGUUUCUUUCACCCGGGACGAUAAUGACGGUACCCGGAGAAGAAGCCCCGGCUAACUUCGUG